GAUAAGAAGAAUGUAGUUAGAACAAAAAAGUACACAUUUUUGUAAUCUAGUUUCGGUGUUGAAUUUUAGAAAAAGAUGCCGUCUCCAUAUUUGGAUUUUUCUCCAAAGCAUCUACAUCUCUAGCAGCUUCAGUUCUGUGGAUGUGCAUUCAAAAGUAGUUUUGAGAGCUUGUUUGGAGGCUCUAGCAGGCGAGCGUGGCUACUCCUAUGCCCUUGACCUAAGAUUGGUCCUCCUCUAUCAGGGAUGGUCAUCUUCUUCCACUGAGCGCACAGCUUCAGGAGGGACGCACAUGGAAACAAUGAGGGAGAAAAAGGGCACCCGCAUAGCCAGCCUGAUCAGCUGAAUUAAUUCUGGCCAUCAAUGGGGUGACAGAUGUCACAGCCAGAUCACCCUCACAUCCUAAAAAAUGGAAAACAGGAAGCAUCAGUGAAUUUUGGGUGCUCCCGGCAAACUGAAAUUUGCCUAUUGAAGCCCGAGAAUAUGUUCCCAAAGCAACAGGAACCACUGCUCUCAAACAUCAGAAAUACAAGGUGAUUAUCCUGAUGAUGGAGUUGCACCUGAGAAAAACACGAUCAUGCCAUGCAAGAUGGUCAUGGUCACCAUGACUGUCUGUCACAGUGGAUGGCACUUGUGUUUCGC
rnacentral:lncRNA from 1 species